rnacentral:snRNA from 1 species
GUGCUUGCUUUGGCAGAACAUAUACUAAAAUUGGAACGAUAUAGAGAUUAGCAUGGCCCCAUGCAAGGAUGACAUGCAAAUUCGUGAAGCAUUCCAUAUUUUU